rfam:Phlebotomus papatasi Contig76.20, whole genome shotgun sequence.
GCCUCUAUAGCUCAGUUGGUAGAGCACUCGUCUACUUAACGAGAGGUCUCCAGUUCGAUUCUGGGUGGAGGCA